UAGACUAACAUGGUAAUGUAGUAGACUAACAGGGCAAUGUAGUAGAUUUACAGGGUAAUGUAGUAGACUAACAUGGUAAUGUAGUAGACUAACAGGGUAAUGUAGUAGAUUUACAGGGUAAUGUAGUAGACUAACAGGGUAAUGUAGUAGACUAACAGGGUAAUAUAGUAGAUUUGCAGGGUAAUGUAGUAGACUAACAUGGUAAUGUAGUAGACUAACAGGGUAAUGUAGUAGACUAACAGGGUAAUGUAGUAGACGGACAGGUUAACGAUGAAGUCUCAUCCACCACUUCUCAUCCUUCCCUAAACAGAAUAAAGUUGUCAUGAAACACACCAUUUUAUUUAAAUAUAUCUAUUCCUAAUAAACAUUUAUCAUCAAUUUCAUUAUUGGAAAAUAUGUCGAUAUUGUAGAUAUUUCGAUGGAGGAGGUAUUUUCUUGUAUAUUCAUAAAAAGUUCAUACUAAAUGCUCAACUCCAUGUGAUGCUGUCUUUGGAAAAUAGACAUCUGAAAGCAUACUGCCACUGGUGUUGCCAGGAUGAAGCCACUGGUGUUGCCAGGUUACUGCCACUGGUGUUGCCAGGAUGAAGCAACUGGUGUUGCCAGGAUGAAGCCACUGGUGUUGCCAGGAUGAAGCCACUGGUGUUGCCAGGUUACAGCCACUGGUGUUGCCAGGUUACAGCCACUGGUGUUGCCAGAAUACCUCCACAGAGGGUUAGGGUUCAGGUGUGACAGCCCUUCAGUAAUAUCAGGGGUUAGAGGUUCAGUUGUCCAGCAGUUGUCGGAGCGCUCUCUCAAUGUUCAUGCGGUGUCCGACUCGUGUCACGCCCAGUUCAGCGAAGUCAUCCUUGGUGAGGGCAGGGAGGUGGGAACCCUCAAUCUCAUGCUCCUGGAAGCGGGCACGAUGCUCUGCCAAACCAACACUCUCCAGCCAGUCUCCCACAUCAUACUUACUCCACAGAGCUAGAGGGCGUUGGCGCCACGGCCGCAGGGCGAGCAGGGGGGAGCCC
rnacentral:lncRNA from 1 species